GCAAGUCGAACGGUAGAAGGUCUUCGGACCUUUGAGAGUGGCGAACGGGUGAGUAACACGUAGGUAAUCUGCCUCUGCGUUGGGGAUAGCCCAUGGAAACAUGGAGUAUUACCGAAUAAGGUCUUUGUUACUGCGGUGAUGAAGAAGAAAGGUGCUACGGCACCGCGCGGAGAUGAGCCUGCGGCUCAUUAGCUAGUUGGUAGGGUAAAGGCCUACCAAGGCAACGAUGAGUAGCCGGCCUGAGAGGGUGAGC
rnacentral:rRNA from 1 species